CCCUUAGAUGUUCUGGGCCGCACGCGCGCUACACUGAUGCAUUCAACGAGUCUAAAACCUGCUCUGAUAGGGGUGGGUAAUCUUUUGAAUGUGCAUCGUGAUUGGGAUAGAUGAUUGAAAUUUUUCAUCUUCAACGAGGAAUGCCUAGUAAACGCAAGUCAUCAGCUUGCAUUGAUUACGUCCCUGCCCUUUGUACACACCGCCCGUCGCUCCUACCGAUUGAAUGAUCCGAUGAAUAUCAUGGAUUGAGGAUGCAAGUAGGUUCACCUAUCUUCAUCUUCGAGAAGUGAAGUAUAUCUUAUCAUUUAGAGGAAGGAGAAGUCGUAACA
rnacentral:rRNA from 1 species